AACCAGCUCUUCAAGUGGUCGGGAUAAUUAUUGGGCUUAAAGUGUCCGUAGCCGGUUUAGUAAGUUCCUGGUAAAAUCGGGUAGCUUAACUAUCUAUAUGCUAGGAAUACUACUAUACUAGAGGGCGGGAGAGGUCUGAGGUACUACAGGGGUAGGGGUGAAAUCUUAUAAUCCUUGUAGGACCACCAGUGGCGAAGGCGUCAGACUGGAACGCGCCUGACGGUGAGGGACGAAAGCCAGGGGAGCGAACCGGAUUAGAUACCCGGGUAGUCCUGGCCGUAAACGAUGCAUACUAGGUGAUGGCACGGCCAUGAGCCGUGUCAGUGCCGUAGGGAAACCGUUAAGUGUGCCGCCUGGGAAGUACGGUCGCAAGGCUAAAACUUAAAGGAAUUGGCGGGGGAGCACCACAAGGGGUGAAGCCUGCGGUUC
rnacentral:rRNA from 1 species